AGACAGAGAGAAAAAAUAACUACGACACGAAGGAGAGGUUAUGUCGAGUCUAGUGACAUUACGAUACGAAAAAACGUAUACUUCUCUAACGAAAUCAAGCAUAUCGAGAUAUUGAAAGAUAUUGAAAAAACAUCUUUGACAACGAACGAAUUCGAUAGAUGGGAUAAAUAUUAUACACGUAUUACUAGUAACGAGCGAUUGGUAUUCUGAACGGUCCCUUCGAGGAGCCACGGUAAUAUUCCACGUUCAUAACGAUCGCAAGUAUGGCAUAACUGAAAUAUAGAAAUGUAUUUAUACGCGCGUAUACGUAAGUACAUCUAUAGAUAUCUCACGUAGGAGGAUGCACGCUUUCCAUUAGCAGAGUAAGUGACCACUGGCUACCAUUUUCUUUGAUGUCGGUUAAUUUACUAAUAACAUCGGUUCCACCGGUCACUCUUCGUCCACCCUCUAAAUAUUUGUAUCGCCAACAUAUCGACUUGUCCUCGUGUAAUUAAGCUACAUUAUUAUUAUUUGAGUGGAACCAGAUAGCCAAGGGAAAAAGACCGGAAUUCCAUGAACCCGGGAAUAAAUUUUCCCAAUCGGCCUCCGCGCUGCUAAACUCCCGGAUGAAUUUCCACUUUAUCGAUUGUACUCGCGCAUUCGUUGCUUCAAUUAAUCUCGCUUAUAAACUUUUUUCUCCUCGAUAUAUACGUGUAUUAUCCACUUCAUAUCAAUGUUAUCGACAUUCCUGGAUGUACAAUAUCUCCAAUAUCAAUAUCGUAUGUAUCCACAAAUUUCUUAUGCUAUUUUUUCAACUUUCCGGAACAUUUAAAAAAAAAAAAAAAAGAAACAUUCAAAAGAUUCCAACCGAGAAAAUUCUAAAAAACUCCUCCCCCUUACGAUUUUCUCACGCGUUUCCAACCGAGAACAUUCAUAAAAGCGUAUAAUCUGAAAAGUGCAAGAGAAAAAAAGAGAAGCGUAGGUAUCUCUAGAGGAGGGUUGAAAAUCACGGGCAGCCGUCUGAGGAACAUAGAGGGGAAGAGGGGGGGGCACCAGUUCGGGCGAUCUUAGCGGAGGAUUACGUAGAAUUAAAUCCUUGGACGGGGGCGUGCCCCCGUAACACUUAAUUUUUCCCCCGAUUUUUUAAUCUCCCGGUAAAUAUCGUCCCAUUCUCUCUCUCUCUCUCUCUCUCUCUCUCUCUCUCUUCUAUUCUGCCAUCCGCGCCCUUCUUCCUCUCUUUCUCUCUCUCUCUCUCUUUCUUACCAUCGUCAAAGGAGAAGAACCCAUUUAAAAACCUCAUCAAUGCUUAAGCCCCCCUGCGCUACCAUAGGAACUAAUCCCUCCUAUUUUAACGCAAGAACGAAGGUGAGAGAAGGAGCGCGGAGAAGGAAGAAGGAGAGGGAGGGGGAGGAGUACGCGCUUUUAAAAGUAAGACUCCGCCUUUAUUAGUAGAUACAACAGUUUUAUUUCCACCGAAAAAAAGGCGAAGGAGGAUAGAGAUAGCGGGAGGGAGAGGGGAAAGGAUUGUUGUCCCUCGUUCCAAAGAGAAAGAGAGAGAGACAGAGAGAGAGAGAGAGUUCUUUAAACUCUCGAGAACGAGGCCCUCGUCUUCGUGAAACGAGCUUAACCAAUGCUACGACCUUUCAGACACGCCUAAUUGGCAGGCUGGCUGCCUCUGUCAACCGCGCAAAAACUGGUGUAACGCGCCCUCUAUGUACUUCGAAACUUUAACGAUCGCGUAAUCGACGUAUCCUCGUUUCUAUAUUCGCGACUACCAAUUUUCACGUUCCGUUGUGAUUGAAAUUUUCUUUUUUUUUUCUUGCUUUGCUCAAAGAUUUUAUCGAAAUUAGUUUCAAUCUUUAUUUUUAUUCGUCCUGUGAUAAUAGUGAUUAGUAUCUUGAUCGUUAUUAAUCGUUUGAGAUAGUGACAUUUUCGUAAAACUUUUGAAAUAUAACGAAUAUCUUCGACGUGCCAAGAGAAAGAAAUUACGAUAUUGUGUGGGUUUCGAUUGAAAAAAAAAGUGAAAGAUAAAAGGAUCGAGAUGGAUAACCACUUCAUAAUGGAAAUAAUAGAAAACACUUUUCACGAGGUUAGGUUAAGUUCGUAUCUACAAUUGUAAUACGCUUUAAAUUGUUAAUUGAGUAUCGUUUGGUGAUAAUCGUAAUUGGUAUCUCGAUUAUUAUUAAUCCUUUGAGACGUUUAUAAUGACAUUUUCAUAAAACUUUUAAAUAUAACGAGUAUCUUCGAUUCGUCAAGAGAAAGGAAUUACGAUAUUAUGUGCAUUUCGAUGAAACAAAAAAGCGAAAAGGAUCGAGAUACAUAAACACUUCAUAAUGGAAAUAAUAGAAAACACUUUUCACGAGGUUAGGUUAAGUUCGUACCUACAAUUGUAAUACGCUUUAAAUUGUUAAUUGAGUAUCGUUUGGUGAUAAUCGUAAUUAGUAUCUCGAUUAUUAUUGAAACAUUUAUAGUGACAUUUUCAUAAAACUUUUAAAUAUAACGAGUAUCUUUGAUUCGUCAAGAGAAAGGUAUUACGAUAUUAUGUGCAUUUCGAUGAAACAAAAAAGCGAAAGAUAAAAGGAUCGAGGUACAUAAACACUUUAUAAUGGAAAUAAUAAAAAACACUUUUCACGAGGUUAGGUUAAGUUCGUAUCUACAAUUGUAAUACGCUUUAAAUUGUUAAUUGAGUAUUGUUUGGUGAUAAUCGUAAUUAGUAUCUCGAUUAUUAUUGAAACGUUUAUAGUGACAUUUUCAUAAAACUUUUAAAUAUAACGAAUAUCUUCGACUCGCUAAGAGAAAGGAAUUACGAUAUUAUGUGCAUUUCGAUGAAACAAAAAAGCGAAAGAUAAAAGAAUCGAGGUACAUAAACACUUCAUAAUGGAAAUAAUAGAAAACACUUUUCGCGAGGUUAGGUUAGGUUAGUUCGUAUCUAGGGGCAACUGUAAUACGCUUUAAACUGUUAAUAGAGUAUCGUGGUACGGUGUUUGGCUGCGGUUGAAUCUCAAGUGUUGGGCUAACAUUCAUGAUGAAAUUAAUCUGGAAGCGGGAGGCCGAUCGUGGGGGUGUAGCCACCGGUUAAAAAGCUUCCGGUGGGCUCCAUCCAUCCCACAGGUUUGCCGCCCCCUUCCUCGUUGACCUCGACCCUUUCCAUUCGUGGGAUUCGUUCCAACACUCGGCCCUCUGUAUUCACGAAUGCCCGUCUGGAACUCCGACUUUGACCCACCCCUCCCCCGGAUCACCACUUGUCGACAGUAACCCUGUGCGUCCGUUAAAGGGUGUCUUUUUUUUUUUGUUUGUCACUGAUGACCAUUUACCAAGAAAGUAAAACUUGAUAAAACUCGAUGAAUAUAUAAAUAUAUAUGAUAUUUUUUAUUUUUGGAAUUUUUUCAAGCAAGGAAAAAUGUUUGGUCGAAUAUCAUCAUUCAGAACAAGAAUUAGAUAUUUGAUGAUAUUCGAUGGACGAUUAAAUAUAUAUAUUUUUGGUAUUUUUUGUUGGAAUUUUUUUCAAAAGUAAAGUAAUUAAUUGGAUAUAUUUGGAAUUCUUUCGAAGGAGGAAACUAAAAUAAUGAUUGAAUUUUUAUUUUUUAUCGAUUUAUUAUACACACUGUUUUACCGAAUAUCGUCAAUGAUCGUUUGCAAAAACAAUGAGAUAUUCGAUGAGCGAUUGAAUAUAUAUAUAUUUAAUAUUUUUUAUUGGAAUUUUUUCAAAGGAAAAAAUAAUGAUUAAUGAGAUUCAACGGAUACAUAUUUGGUAUAUUUUAUUGAAAUUCUUUGAUGGGAGGAAAGUAAAAUAAUGAUUAAAUUUCUAUUUAAUUUAUUUUUCAUCGAUUUAUUUUAUCGAGUAUCGUCACUGAUCGUGAAGAAUGAGAUAUUCGAUGAACGAUUGAAUAUCCAUCGAAAAGAAUUUAUAUUUUUCUCGAAUAGAAUAACGAUAUUUUCAUCGAUUUACGCUAUUUUUCACGCAUACCUUUCAACUUUUCAACAAAUUUUAAUAAUCUAACUCUCCCUCCCCUCUUCCUUAACAGAAACACGCACAGGAUUCCCCGAGAGAAAGCGUCGACGCCAGGGGACGGAAGCUCGACGCGACAAUAGCCACUCAACCCCGGCCCAACUUCCGAUUUAUUCUCAACGCGAAGAUGGACGGAUCACAAGAAUAUCCUCGUAUCUCGAUAAGUCGAUGGUUCGAGCUCGUUCCCUCCAUCUCCAAAAUUUUCAUUUUCGACUUUUCACUCGUUUCCACAAAUUUUAAAAAAAGAGAGAAAAUUCGGUGGAGGAAAGUUGGAAAGUAAACGAAACGACCGAUCGAUAAAUUAACCUGGGAAAAGGGAGAGAAAAAAACGAAAGGGAUUGAAUUUGCCAAUUUCCCCCUCCCCCAUUUUUUCUCUGAGAAGAGGGAAUAAUUAGGCGGACAAACAAACAAACGAAAAAAAAGACAGAGAAGUAUUUCUUCGACGUAUCUCCCUUCGUGAAUGUUGCGCGAAAGGGAGCCGAAACGACGCCACCUUCUCCCCCCCUGCUGAUUUUUCACAAAUAAAAAGUAAGAGUUUUAGAGAAUCAACACGCGCACGCGUACAGGGAAACCGCGUUUCUGAUAAUUGGCAAGGAAUCUUUUUUCCAAGGGUUCCCUUUUCCCAUCCCCCCCCAUAAAGGGAAAAACGAAACAUCGCACACUUUUCUUCGCGUUUGAAGAUUAUGCACAUUCGAAGAGGAAGGGAGGGGUGGGAAAACACGGCGAUAUUUAUUUUAUACGCUCGAUACGCCGCAGACGAGGUGGGCAGAGGUUCGCAACUCGUUCGAUGGAUAUCUCUUCACCCCUCUUCUCUUAUCUCCCCCCCUCCAAACCUUUCCCAAAACAUCGGUUCUUUCGACCGAUCUAAUAAAAAUAUAAAGGAAAGAAACGGUCGGUCAAGAAGUCGACGAGGGAGGGAGAUCGUGGAGGGUUUACAAGUGGGGAGGGCAAAAUUGAAUGUUCACGAAGAAGUUUUACGCGACGUUUCAUAUCGAGGUGCAUUUUCGUUCUUCUUCGUUUCGUUCGAACAAUAUUCGAAUGAAUCGAGUAAAAAUAACACGUCUCGUUAAGCACUUGUCCCAUCCAUUUUUUGGGUUUUUCCAACGACUUUCCUUAAAUGAUCGAGAGAGAGAGAGAGAGAGAGAGAGAGAGAAGAGAGAGAGAGAGAGAGAGAGAGAGAGAGAAUGGGAAGAUCGAACGAGCGUUUCAAAAAGGGGCCGUGAUUGGGGAGGGGGGAAGGAAAAAAAAAGGUUGGUUGGUUGGGAAAUACUGUUCCUGCGGUAUUUGAACGGGGGAAAUAAGAGAGAGGAGGGCUGUGGUGCAGUCUGGUAUCGACGAGAUCGACGGGGGGGAGGAGGGAGGGGGUGGACUCCGUCGCCGGAUGUCUUUGCUCUACUACGCUUUACUUUUUAUUUAUCGCCGUGAAAGAAGGAAUUCACGACGCCGGCUCGCGGACUUUUCGCGAGAAAGGGAGACGUCGACGCUAUAAAAAGGCACAAGAUUGCCCCAUCCCCCCUUUUCCCUUUACCGUCGAAUCAGAGCCGCGUAUCCGUUAAAAAAAAAAAAAAGAAAAAUAACACUCGAUAAAUUUUUCGAACAAUUUUCGCAAACUUCCAAAUUUGUUUUUUUUAUUCAUCCUACGUUGUACACGUAAUUAAGUAAUGAAAUUAUUGAUAGAAUAUUUUCACUGAUCGUAAUAAUUUAAAAAUACGUAUAACACUCGCACGAGUUUCGAUCCAUCGGAGAAGAAACGGGCGAUCGAGCUAAAGAAUGGAUAAAUUGCAAGCGACAUAUAUUCAUCAUAGAUCAUAGAUUUUUCCAGAUGCUUAACUGCGAGUACUUUUUAACACAGUCGAUCGUUCUAAAAAAAAAAAUUGUUUUAGUAAAAAAAUCAAGUCGUUAUACUGGAAGAUACGAUUCUAAUUAUUUUAUGAAUUACAAAAAGUGUUCUCGAGGAACUGGAAAAAGGCUUAUCUAUAUUAGGAAAAAACUAUAAUUUGAAAGAGAAUAGCAAUAGUCGAAAUGAGACAACUUUUAUCUUGUAUCAAGACCGAAAGUAUGCAUUUUAUGAUCAACGAUAAGAAAAAUAAAAUGGAAAUAAGUAUAACGUACGUAUUAAUUUUAAAUUGUAUUAUCGAAGUAUUCCACUUUAACGCAUCAAUUAAAAAUUCAAAAGCAGUCGUUUUCCGUCAA